rnacentral:rRNA from 1 species
UGGGGAAUAUUGCGCAAUGGGGGAAACCCUGACGCAGCGACGCCGUGUGAGGGAAGAAGGCUUUCGGGUCGUAAACCUCUGUCGGGAGGGAAGAACCUUCCAGGCCUGAAUAAGUCCUGGAACUGACGGUACCUCCAAAGGAAGCACCGGCUAACUCCGUGCCAGCAGCCGCGGUAAUACGGAGGGUGCAAGCGUUAAUCGGAAUCACUGGGCGUAAAGCGCGCGUAGGCGGUCUUUUAAGUCGGACGUGAAAGCCCUCGGCUCAACCGGGGAACUGCGUUCGAAACUGGGAGACUUGAGUCCUGGAGAGGGUGGCGGAAUUCCGGGUGUAGGAGUGAAAUCCGUAGAUAUCCGGAGGAACACCGGUGGCGAAGGCGGCCACCUGGACAGGUACUGACGCUGAGGCGCGAAAGCGUGGGGAGCAAACA